GCCCCGGUAGCUCAGUGGGAGAGCGCCGUCUCGACAAGGCGGAUGUCGGAGGUUCGAACCCUCCUCGGGGCAC
rnacentral:tRNA from 1 species